rnacentral:rRNA from 1 species
UCCGUAGGCGGGCAAUUAAGUCAGAGGUGAAAUCCCACAGCUCAACUGUGGGACUGCCUUUGAUACUGGUUGUCUUGAGUUACAGUGAAGUAGAUAGAAUAUGUAGUGUAGCGGUGAAAUGCAUAGAUAUUACAUAGAAUACCGAUUGCGAAGGCAGUCUACUAACUGUAUACUGACGCUAAUGGACGAAAGCGUGGGGAGCGAACAGGAUUAGAUACCCUGGUAGUCC